UACGAAGGGGGGCUAGCGUUGCUCGGAAUUACUGGGCGUAAAGCGCACGUAGGCGGAUUGUUAAGUCGGGUGUGAAAAUCUCCACGCUCAACGUGGAGGGGCCACUCGAUACUGCCAUGACUCGAGUCCGGUAGAGGAGUGUGGAAUUCCCGGUGUAGCGGUGAAAUGCGCAGAUAUCGGGAGGAACACCCGUAGCGAAGGCGGCACUCUGGGCCGGAACUGACGCUGAGGAGCGAAAAGCGUGGGGGAGCAAACAGG
rnacentral:rRNA from 1 species